AAAUAUGUUUUCAUUAUGUGUAUCAGUGAUGUAUCUUGAUAUGGUAUCAGAGAUAAAGAUAUCUCUCUUUCUCUCACUCCGUGCAUGUUUUUCAUGGGACGGUGUCUUUUCUUUCAUCAUCGUGCACGUUUUUCCCUCAUUGGACUAUCUUUUUCCAUUCCAUUCAUCAUCAUCAACCUCGGCCACGUGUUACUCUUGAUUUCCAACCCAUAUUUUGUAUUAUCAUUUCUGUUUUUCCUUUCUUUUCGUUCCAAUUUCUUUUAUUCUUUUCCCUUCUUUCUCUCUCUUCCUCCACCGUUCUCUGAAAAAAAAAAAUUCUUCCUUCCCAUCUUCUUCUUCCACCUUCAGCAUAUUCAUCGAAAUAUCUAGAAAUCCAUCUUCACCUUGCCUAUUCUUCCAUUUUCAAACUUUUUCCUCCCUCAACCCUUCGAAAUCACUCUCAACUCACCCAAUUUUCUUGAACCUUAACUUUCGGUUUCUCCGUUCCUAGCUUCAUCUUCUUCUCUUCGCUCAUGGAUGAACAACGAUAUCUUGAUUUCACAACCAAUCCCUCAAACCCUUUCUACAUACAUCCUAACAAAAAUCUUACUUUAAUCCUUGUUUCCCCACCUCUUGAUAGAAAAAGUUACUUGUCCUGGGCUCGAUCUAUGAAGGUGGAACUCAUCCCCAAGAACAAACUCCAUUUCAUCGAUGGUACUUUCCAGAAAUCAGAAUGCAACAGCAAUCUCCAUGACCCAUGGGUUCGGUGCAAAAAUAUUGUUCUCUCUUUUAUCUCUAACGCUCCGUCUCCAAUAACAUUUCACAAUCAAUCUUAUGGUUCGACAAUGCCUCGGUUGUUUGGAAUAUUUUGCCCAAUAGAUUUUCAUAAGGUGAUAUUUUUCGUCUCUCUGACCUCCAAGAAGAUCUUGUUCAUCUUCAAUAAGGUGUUCUCGAUGUUUCAACAUACUUCACCGAUCUCACUUCCAUUUGGGAACAAAUCGACACUUACAGACCUACACGAGAUUUCACUUGUGUUAUUCCUUGUACUUGUGGCACCAUCACUGAUCUACGCAAGUUCCGUGACCAAGACAAGGUUCUAAAAUUCCUAAAAGGUAUAAAUGAUUAAUUUUCCAUUUUUUGAUCCUAAAUAAUGAUGAUUGAACCUCUCCCCAACCUUGAUAAAAACUUCUCUAUCGUCCUUGGCCAAGAAAAAUAACUUACCACACCCUCUCCCAUCCUCCAUGUUCCAGAAAAUCAAACCCUAACUUCCCACAUUCAACCCCAUAGUGGAAGUGGUCGUGGCCUGCAACCUUCCUUUUUCAGAGGAAGAGGUCGUUCCCAAUUUUCCAAUGGUCGUGGUAAUUAUCAACCUUCUGCUCGACUCUUUACCUACUGCGGCCGCACAAAUCACACAGUUGAGAGUUGUUUUGCUAAACAUGGAUAUCCACAGGGUUUUCAGCAUCUUUCGAAAAUCCCUUAUAUUCAUUCCACUAUUGCAAAAGUUUCCCCAACCAGACAUUAUUUUCCUACUAAUCACUCCAAUGUAAUGAUUCAAGAUCAACACAAUCAAAUUCUUAACUUGCUUUAACAACAUCUCCCCACCAACAAUGUUCAUUAUACUACAACUCAGAAUUCGGAGCUCAACUAUACUGUCUCUUCCAAUGGUAAUGUCAACACUAUUUUAACACCUUUGGAAUUCAUCCUUGAAGAUUAUUGGUUUAGCUAAAUGAUAUUGUGAUCUCUAUGUGCUACAUGCUUAACUUACAACAUGUAAUAUCUUUCCUGCUUCUAGUUUACUUACUGCUUCUACCUUAGAGAAUACACUAAUUUAUGGCACCUUAGGUUAGGCCAUAUCUCUGACUCUGUGUACAAAUGCAUAUCUACUCAACUUCCUUUUAUUACAUAUAAUAAAUUUGGUCCUUGUGAUGUUUGUCAUUUAUCUAAACAAAAGCAUUUGCCUUA